rnacentral:rRNA from 1 species
UGGUGGAGCGAUUUGUCUGGUUAAUUCCGAUAACGAACAAGACUCUGGCCUAUUAAAUAGUUCGCCGAUUCCGAUCUGUCGGCGUUAACUUCUUAGAGGGACAAGUGGCUUUUAGCCACGCGAGAUUGAGCAAUAACA